CGCCGGCGGGCGCCGGCCGGGCCUGCAGAGCGGAAGACAAAGCCCCAUACGCUCGAGGACCGGACGCGGUGCCGCCGCUGCCUUUCGGGCCCGUCCCCCGGAACCGGGGGACGAGGACCCAACACACAAGCCGGGCUUGAGGGCAGCAAUGACGCUCGGACAGGCAUGCCCCCCGGAAUACCAGGGGGCGCAAUGUGCGUUCAAAGACUCGAUGAUUCACUGAAUUCUGCAAUUCACAUUAGUUAUCGCAUUUCGCUGCGUUCUUCAUCGAUGCCGGAACCAAGAGAUCCAUUGUUGAAAGUUUUAACUGAUUGCAAAGAAUCACACUCAGACUGCAAGCUUUCAGAACAGGGUUCAUGUUGGGGUCUCCGGCGGGCACGGGCCCGGGGGCGAGACGCCCCCCGGCGGCCAGCAGGGCUGGCGGGCCCGCCGAAGCAACAAGGUACAAUAGUCACGGGUGGGAGGUUGGGCCACGAGGACCCGCACUCG
rnacentral:misc_RNA from 1 species